CACGAAACAAGUUGAGCUAACUUACUGCGUUUUUUAGAAUCUGGUAUGUAGCAUAAUAUAAGUCGACCAUAAGUUAGGAGUGAUAGGCUAAUCAUAUCUUGUGAUAUCUUGAUUCCCUAGACUUGCAUUAGUGCAAUUACAUUUAAGGAGUGAUCAGGCUUUUUAAUAUUACUAAUACACAUCGUGUUAUUAUUCUAUGGCUUAAUCGUUAGGGAUAAUAGUAUCAGAAUAUUUUUAUGUAUAAAUUGUAUUUAGUAUAGGGGAACUUCUAAACAACCAAGUGAUUUUUAUAAUGUUAAUAUAAGUAGUUUAUAGAAAUUGUAAAUGAACUCGGCAAUAUUUCUUUCACCUGUUUACCAAAAACAUCGCCAUUCGAAACUAUUGAUGGUCUUUUCUGCUCAAUGAUUUUUAAAUAGCCGCAGUACCCUGACUGUGCAAAGGUAGCGUAAUCAUUUGACUUAUAAUUGAAGUCCUGUAUGAACGAAGGGAUGGGGGAAAGCUUUAUCUACGGUUUUAACUGAACUUACUCAAUAAGUGAAAAUGCUUAUGAAUAAAUAAUAGACGAGAAGACCCUAGAAAUUUUGAUGAAAUGCGAUAGACAAUUUUUGUUGGGGCAACAUAGUAGCAAUUAACCUGCAUUAUAAAACACGAAACAUGGUAGUUAGGUUAAAUUACUCUAGGGAUAACAGCGUAAUAAUUAAUUGUUUGCGACCUCGAUGUUGGACUAGGAAGCGAUUGCUUAGAA
rnacentral:rRNA from 1 species